rnacentral:lncRNA from 1 species
GUGAAACAUUUGUUAUUAAUAAAAGUAAUUCUCACACCCAUUUAAUAUCCCUUUUUAGUGGGGUACACUUGUCAUGCCUUCCACUUUUCCCUUGUAAAGUGGGAGACAAAUCCUGUCAGCAUUUAAUUUCCUUUUUUCCGUGAUCCAUGUGGCAACAGAGAAAGGGUGAACUUCUAAAAAGUGGAAGCCAAGUGGCGAGCAGAGAGUGACCGAUCGUUGGUGGUGGAGGCGGUAUUUAAGAUAAGUUUUUGAAAUUUGACGCCAUUUUUCCUCAUGCAACCUUUCUCCUUCCUCAAACUCCAACUUUCAAAAAGCUCAAUUCUCCUCCUUCUCUCUAAACUUUCCAAACCUUCUCUCUGGAUUUCUAACCACCAUUUCUUCUCCGAUCACUUAUUUCCUUUCAGACUUAUUACUCCCGGCGUCAAGACCUUUACUUUGCACCGAUCAGAUUUCCGUUCUGAAUCGGUAAGUGUUCUGACCUUCGAAACCUCUUUGUCCUCUUGCAUGCACCUUUAAAAGCUUGCAUGUGACUGUUAAAUCAUCUUCUGAACCAUUGUCUUUGGUAUUUAAACUAUAGAACUUGGAAGCCUUUGAAGGAAUAGUUGUCGUCCACCUACCUUAGGAGUUUA